UACGUAGGGUGCAAGCGUUAAUCGGAAUUACUGGGCGUAAAGCGUGCGCAGGCGGUUUUGUCAGUCUGUCGUGAAAUCCCCGGGCUCAACCUGGGAAUGGCAAUGGAUACUGGCUGGCUAGAGUGUGUCAGAGGAUGGUGGAAUUCCCGGUGUAGCGGUGAAAUGCGUAGAGAUCGGGAGGAACAUCAGUGGCGAAGGCGGCCAUCUGGGACAACACUGACGCUGAAGCACGAAAGCGUGGGGAGCAAACAGG
rnacentral:rRNA from 1 species